AUACGGAGGAUCCGAGCGUUAUCCGGAUUUAUUGGGUUUAAAGGGUGCGCAGGCGGCCAUUUAAGUCAGCGGUUAAAUCGUGGGGCUCAACCCCAUUCUGCCGUUGAUACUGGGUGGCUUGAUUGCGGUCGAGGUUGGCGGAAUUCGUUGUGUAGCGGUGAAAUGCAUAGAUAUGACGAAGAACACCGAUUGCGUAGGCAGCUGACCAGACCGCAAAUGACGCUCAUGCACGAAAGUGCGGGGAUCGAACAGGAUUAGAUACCCUGGUAGUCCGCACAGUAAACGAUGAAUACUUGUUUUCGGCGAUAUAAUGUCGGAGGCAAAGCGAAAGCAUUAAGUAUUCCACCUGGGGAGUACGCCGGCAACGGUGAAACUCAAAUGAAUUGGCGGGG
rnacentral:rRNA from 1 species